UUGUAAAUGAAUUGAAAAUAUUAUUUAAAUAUAGUUGAAAAUAAAUAUUAACAGAAGAAUAAAUGGGAAACCAUAAUAAUUGUUAACAGAAGUGGAACUAAUGGAUUACACUAAGUGAGGAUGCCAAAGUACUAAAUUUGUGAAAAACAUUCUCUUUGGAAAAGCAUUCUCUGUUAAAAGCUGAAAUACAUAAUGAAAUUAAGAAAUAUGAUUCUACUCAUGUUUAGAAGAUUGUGAUCAUUUUCUUUAGCAACUGAGGAAGUUCAGCCACAUACAAGAAUCUCUGACCAGCUCUAAUACAUUUUGGAAGCAUUAUGGAUCAGCUUUAUUCAUGUCUCCGGAAGGAAAUUGCCUCCUUUGAGACACAUGUUCAGGUCUGCAAAGAAGCUUUUGAUCUGGACACCUUAAAGCAUGUUCUGAGUGUGCUUACUGAGAGUUACCAGGGAGAGAUUGAGAGCCUGGAUGUGCUCUGGCAUCUUGCUGGAAUACCAGCUAUCACAAAUCAAGUAGGUGUGAACAUCACAGUUAAUAAUGGAGGUAUUGACCUUCAAGGUUAUAUCUCAUGGCUCUGCUCCUUCAUAGAGCAUCUAAGGUCAAUGAAAGAAACCUUUGAUGACAAAGUGGUUAUCCCUCUUUGUGAAAGUCUUUAUGUUAAUGAUGAAGGAGGAAUCUCAGAAUGCUUCUCAGAUAUGUUCUCACCCUUAACUUCUCUUCAGGAGUCCUGGACAAAACCAAAAGUGCAACCAAAGGAAUCCAUUGCUAAGGUGGCUAACGAACUUUUUAUCCUGCGACGGAGGUGGGCUUUGCUGCUCACUCCUGGCCCCAUUAAAGCAGAGAACUUUAAUCCACAGAGUGCACCUAAGGAGGCCGGGGGGGUACUGCAUUUUGGAAAAAUCCUUUGGUUGGUACCAGAUAUUGUCUAUAAAAGCCUUCUGGCAGCUAACCUAGCAUCUCAAUGGGUUGACCUUUACCAGAUGAAAUAUAGUGACCAGAAGUGGCCAAAACACUCAUUUAGCCAAGCAAAAGUGGAGACCUCCAAUAGCCCAAACCUAGAGAAGACAGAACACUUAAGAAAGCCUUCAAGCUUCUUAAAAAUAGAAAGUGGGAACGGUCAAGGAGAACGAAUGACUGACAUAAAAGCAAAGCUAAGAAAUGCCAGAAUGGAGCUCAUGGCACUCAGGUGGCGUGAAGAGAGAGCAAAAAUUCUGGAACAGCAAAUUACACAGGUCUUGCAGAAGGUUAAAAACAUUCGUAUUCAACUCAAAGACAAGAAAAAUGAAAUGGACCAUCUGAAGCAACUUACAGAAUGGGAAGCAAGAGAUGAGCAAAAAGCAGAGAUGCUUAACCAAAAGUACAAAGAGUGCCUUAAUCAAAUCCGAAGUCUGGAGCAACAUCUAAAGCUGGAGGAGUACCAUGAAAAUAUAUUGCAAGGAGAUAUGAUGCUUGAGUUAGAAAUCCGUCCUUCUCUAAUCCGACAAAUUGAAAUGAUUCAAGAUCGGUGCAAGGAGCUUGAGGAAAAAUUGAAAUUUACUGAAUAUGUAAAGAACAGCCCAGAGGCUCUGCAAGAACUCGGCAAACUGACUCCAGAUACACAUUCUAUUAUUUCCAACUGUACUAGCUUGUUCUCUUUGAAAUAAUCCUUUCACAUGUUCAAUGCCAGCCAGAAACACCUCCAGGUGGCAGUCAGAGACAAUACAUAGUGUCAUUGUAUCAAAAAUAUUGGUAGCAAAUGCUUUAUGGUAUACAUAAAUUAAGUAUAAAUAUGUGAUAAAAUAUGGAAAAACAUAUGUUUACAUAUAUAAAUAGGUAGGUUUUAACUAUAUGAUUUGCAACAGUAUUCUCAAUGGAAUUCAAAGCAUUUUAACACAGUAUUUAUGUUGUUCGUACUUAUCAAAACAAGAACUGCAUAUUUAGGAGUAGUCUCAAUGGUAUUGAAAGGAAAGUACUGAGGUUCAGGUACCUCAGAAUAACAGACAAGAUUCAAUUUAGUCAAGUGGGCAUUUGAAAGCUAAACUUGAAGAGAAUUUUGGAAGUUGCACAUAUUUCUGGGAAUCAUAUAAAUUUUAUGCUCUACUAUGACCUAAUGUUUGCUUCAUGAACUGUGAACCGUAGUAACAAAAUAAAUAUUUACGUGUCUGGAAUUCACGGUAUUUUUAAGUUUGAGCAUGUUACUUUAAUGAACUGUUUUAAAACAAUGUUGCAUAUGACAUAAGAAUUAUACAUAUCUUAAAUUUUACAUUUACGUAACACAAAAAUGUUAUUGGAAACAUGUUUGAUUUUCCUUGUGUGUGUGUUACUUGCAUUUCAUUUUUAAAUUACAUUAUGUGAAUGUUCUGUGGUUUCAGAUAUAAUUAAUUAACCUGUUUUCCUCUUUAUUGUUGUUCAAUUGACAAUAUUUUUGGAUCUAUUGACACAGCUGAAUAUAAAUAACCUAGGACUUCCCUGAAGAAGGUGCAUUUGUCUUCUGCUGUGCACUUACAGACACUUCCAGUGUUUGUGACAUUUGCAUAGUGCAGCUGCAUUAUUUAUGUAACAUGUUUGAUUGUGAGUGCAACCUGCCUUAGACUUAUAUAACAGUUGAAUUCAUAGUGAUUUAACUGUUAAUUUAACUUGACCAAUUAGAUUUACUUCAGCAAUAUCAAUAAUACAGAUCAGAUGAUGACAUUGCAUUUAAUUCAAUUUGUGUUAAAAUUGAAAAAUUGCAAUGUGUAUGUUUAAGGAUCAUGUAUAGAUGAUUCUGUUCUCCUGCCACUUUCACUUUUAGUUCAUUCAUUAGAUACCAAGGGAACCCGAGUAUGGAGAAACCUGAGUGAAUACAGCGCUGCAUAUUUUGCAUUGUUCUGCUCUUGCACUCAGUGUUUUCUUUUCUUGUGCAAAAACACAGUUCCAUGGUACAGGAAUUGUAGCAGUUUUAUUUUAAGAUAAUGAUAGAUAUGUUUUUUUGUGCAGAAUAUAAAAAGUCAUUUUUAAUUAAAUAGUUAUGUAGAGCGGAACAAUGAUGUU
rnacentral:lncRNA from 1 species